GAUGGAGAGCCUGUGGAAAUGCAACAGUAGAUACCUGACCUGUGCCAAUGAUAUUCCCUCUUUGUAUGUACUGCGACAAAUUAGAAGAACUCCAAUGUGAUGUCACACAAGAUUUUCAGGAAGGAAUCUCUGCUGCCUUCCAUGUUCAAGUUUUCCUAGGCAGGUGAUAAAAUCUGUGCUCAAUACCCAACAGUGGUCUUGUCAGAUGUGUCUUUCGGAGGGAGGAGCUGUGGAAGGAUGACCUCUCCAUAAUGGAAGAUGAGGACCCUGUAGUAAUGCAACUGAAGACACCCAUUGCAGAGUUGAUUCCAUCUCCCCAUCAUAAUGCAAGGAUGUUGUAGAACUCCAAUACCAUGGAAGCCCAGGCUUGCAGGAAGGAGUCCCUGACAUGGACCCUGUGGACUGCAGUGGCAGAUACCUGAUGUGUGGCAAUUUCAUGAUCUCUUUGAAUGUACUACAGUGAAUUAGAACUACAAUGUUAUGUCAUCCAAGGCUUCAGGAAUGGGACUCUGGUAA